CAAGAAGUAGUUUAAUAAGAAUAUCAGCUUUGGGUGUUGAUGGUGGGGAAGUAUUCCUUCUUCUUGA
rnacentral:tRNA from 1 species